UUCUUUUCAUUAUUAGUAUUAUUUAUUAUAGUUAUGGUUAUUAUAAAAAAAUGAAAAAAAAGAAACUGAGCAACACAGCAGCAAUAGUGCGGCGCCUCCCAUUCACAUUGCUAUUUUCUCACAAAAGAGCCUUAGCUACACUUAAUCAUGAAGGUGAAUCUCUCUUUCCAAUCCCAAUUUUUCCACAAAGAAACAAACAAAACAGUAUUGUGCAUAUAUUGUGGGANNNNNNNNNNNNNNNNNNNNNNNNACACAAUUUGCAGGUUGAUUUUUCUUUGAUGCAUUAAAAGCAUAGCCAUUUUUUCUUCUGAUUUGCAAGGCUAUGGUGUAGCCUUUCGGUGCAGAAAAUUGGAGUUUGACAAGAGGCAGCUUGGGUGCAGGUUUCAUACACUGUUGUGCUUGACUUUUGAUGAAUUUGAAUUGCAUUUUGUUCAAACUCCUCUGAUUGAUUUCUUCUAUAAAUAGAGGGUAAUGGCUGAAUUUGAAGAGGAGGCAUUGAGUU
rnacentral:lncRNA from 1 species